GAUGAAGAACGCAGCGAAAUGCGAUAAGUAAUGUGAAUUGCAGAAUUCAGUGAAUCAUCGAAUCUUUGAACGCACCUUGCACCCUUUGGCAUUCCGAAGGGUAUGCUCGUUUGAGUGUCAUUGUACUCUCACACUCUCCGAUCCUAUGGAUUCGGGGAGCGGUGGACUUGGGUGUUGCUGCCUUUCCCUGUGGCUCACCUCAAAUGCGUCAGUGCACCUCUUGGUUGGACAUAGUACGGCGUGAUAAGUGUCUUCGCCGGCACCUCGCAAGAGGGUGGCCGAUCGGGAGCUCUGCGCUAUCAAACCGUCUUCGGACAAUUUCUGACAUCUUGACCUCAAAUCGAGUAGGACUACCCGCUGAACUUAAGCAUAUCAAUAAGCGGAGGA
rnacentral:misc_RNA from 1 species